rfam:Yarrowia lipolytica strain CLIB122 chromosome C complete sequence.
GCCUGGCUAGCUCAAUCGGUAGAGCGUGAGACUCUUAUUCCAAGAAAUCUCAAGGCUGUGGGUUCAAGCCCCACGUCGGGCU